rnacentral:rRNA from 1 species
GCAGCUUGCUGGACUGUAACUGACGCUGNGGCACGAAAGCGUGGGGAUCAAACAGGAUUAGAUACCCUGGUAGUCCACGCCGUAAACGAUGAAUGCUAGCUGUUAGCGAUAUACUGUUAGCGGCACAGAGAAAUCGUUAAGCAUUCCACCUGGGGAGUACGCCGGCAACGGUGAAACUCAAAGGAAUUGACGGGGGCCCGCACAAGCGGAGGAACAUGUGGUUUAAUUCGAUGAUACGCGAGGAACCUUACCUGGGCUUAAAUUGCAGUGGAAUAACGUGGAAACAUGUUAGCCUUCGGGCCGCUGUGAAGGUGCUGCAUGGUUGUCGUCAGCUCGUGCCGUGAGGUGUCGGCUUAAGUGCCAUAACGAGCGCAACCCUCAUCGAUAGUUACUAACAGGUUAAGCUGAGGACUCUAUCGAGACUGCCGACGUAAGUCGUGAGGAAGGUGGGGAUGACGUCAAAUCAGCACGGCCCUUACGUCCAGGGCUACACACGUGUUACAAUGGGGGGUACAAAGGGCAGCUACCUGGCGACAGGAUGCUAAUCUCAAAAACCUCUCUCAGUUCGGAUUGGAGUCUGCAACCCGACUCCAUGAAGCUGGAUUCGCUAGUAAUCGCGCAUCAGCCACGGCGCGGUGAAUACGUUCCCGGGCCUUGUACACACCGCCCGUCAAGCCAUGGGAGCCGGGGGGACCUGAAGUAUGCAACCGUAAGGAGCGUCCUAGGGUAAAACUGGUGACUGGGGCU